CCUACGGGGUGCUGCAGUGAGGAAUAUUGGUCAAUGGACGAGAGUCUGAACCAGCCAAGUAGCGUGAAGGAUGACUGCCCUAUGGGUUGUAAACUUCUUUUAUAAAGGAAUAAAACGAGGCACGUGUGCCUUUUUGCAUGUACUUUAUGAAUAAGGAUCGGCUAACUCCGUGCCAGCAGCCGCGGUAAUACGGAGGAUCCGAGCGUUAUCCGGAUUUAUUGGGUUUAAAGGGAGCGUAGAUGGGUUGUUAAGUCAGUUGUGAAAGUUUGCGGCUCAACCGUAAAAUUGCAAUUGAUACUGGCAGUCGUGAGUACAGUUGAGGUAGGCGGAAUUCGUGGUGUAGCGGUGAAAUGCUUAGAUAUCACGAAGAACCCCGAUUGCGAAGGCAGCUUACUAAACUGUGACUGACAUUGAUGCUCGAAAGUGUGGGUAUCAAACAGGAUUAGAUACCCUAGUAGUC
rnacentral:rRNA from 1 species